CCCAGUGAGCCUCAGGAGCCUGUGCAACCAGUCGGCUAGGUUACAUCAGGGACCCCAGGAGGCUGUGGAGAAGUUCCCAGCCCUGGCUCAGGUGCCUUGGGUGGGAGGGGGAGCAGGAGGGAGACGACCCGUCUCUUGGGACACUGCCUCUUCAGCUUAGGGGCAGUAGUUUCCUUCCUUCCUUGAUGACCCGGGAGCUUUAACUGGAAGUGGUCAGCUGUUGAAGACCUGCCAGCCUCUGCUGACAACAGAGUGACUUCUGGAAUCUCAGCUCAGAGAAGGGAGGAGUCUGGGCUGCAGAAUUUACUCACUGGGAUGGUGAGCCAGCACAGCCCUCUUGCUGGAAGCCGUACAACCAUUACAAAGGGAAAGGAAAAGUCUGGCCAAGAACCGGUAAGGAGAGGUGAGGCAAGACCUCAAGAGUACAGACCCACACUCAACCAGAGAGAGCUCAAAGCCAUGGACAAAGUAGGUCCCCUGAGCAGAGCGAGCCCGGUGCUGCAGGGCCCUGAGCAGUGAGGGGCCCUAGCCAUGGACAAAGCCGGUCGGUCGAUAAACAGAGUCAUGGACGACAAUACAGUGCACUGUAUCAAGGGCAUUCAGGUUAUGAGCCACUCCCGAUGCUCAGAGUGCAGUAAUCCCAUACUGAACUGUGUUCUGAGUACACAGGACGCGGGCCAGGGAGAAGACAGGACACAAACUUCUUUAGGUGACUAGGUGACGCUGUGUGGACCCCACACUGAAUGGAUACUGAUCUGAACACCUGGGUAGUUUCAAUGUUCAUUUUACAUGGCUUUUGCUUUAAACAACACAGCCAUGUGCUGUGAGAUUGUAUCUCUUAGAAAUGUCAGAAGCCACACCCAUCAAGUCUCCCCAACGUUACCGAAACCGGACAGGAACGAGGAUGAUGCCAACAGACAUGCUAAUGUGGAUGAGGAACGCCCAUGAGGCCUGAACCCCACACAGAGAACUAUAGGCAACCAUGGACUGCUAAGGGUGGGAGAGACAGUCUUCCACAGGGAAGGGCACUCCAGCUGGCUAAGCAGUGGUCGGCCCUGAGAAUAUACAUACAGGUCGUAUUACACAGACUGAGUAGGCUGCAUUUAUACACUUGGGAACACACACACACACACACACACACACACACACACACACACGUAUGUAACAACAAUUAAGAAGGUUAUAAACUUGAAUGGGACAACAUGGGAAGGCUUAGAAGGAGGAAAGGGAAGAAAUGAUUAUGAUCUUAAACAAAAGCAAACAACAAUGACCCACACAAGCAUCGCCCCAUGGCAUCAGAGACGGGACUCUGCCGGCAAAGAAGUCUUUCCAACAUGUGCUGCUGGGGCUGACGUACAGCCUGAACACAAACCUCACACCUUACACCCAGGUGAACUCACUCGAGCCACAGACACAAAGUCAUGAAGCAGGCAGACACCCGAAUGGCUUCCAGUCGGUGUGAGCCGCAGAAGGGAACACUGACAAGCCACAUGUGUUCAAUAAAAGCCUUGUCUCUAAAA